rnacentral:rRNA from 1 species
AUGUGUUCUAGGAGGCAAAUUCGAGCUCCAUAUUACUUGGUCUGCUGCUUCUUCUGGGUUGUCUUCUACCUUCCAGUAGAUUCUAUGAAGCUCCAAUGGCUAUCAAACAGAUGCAUCGAAUUUAAGUGUCAGGAGUCUGCCUUUUGGUAUGCCCUUGUGGCAAAAAAAUACUUCUGCAAAGUUGUAGUCACAACUAUAAUUAUCCAAGGAGGAAGUGUUGUAAAAGGAGGAGAUGUCUUGCUCUACUGCUGCUUGGUACCAGACGUGAACAACUUCAUUAGGAGUUUACUGCAUGGUUGGAGGAAGGUAUUGAUGCCACUAGAGAUAAUAAACCAUUUGGAUCCCAAUACCAUACCAUGUUGA